CACGUAGGGGGCAAGCGUUGUCCGGAUUUAUUGGGCGUAAAGAGCUCGUAGGCGGUUCGGUAAGUCGGGUGUGAAACUUCCAGGCUCAACCUGGAGUCGCCACUCGAUUCUGCUGUGACUAGAGUCCGGUAGGGGAGCGUGGAAUUCCUGGUGUAGCGGUGAAAUGCGCAGAUAUCAGGAGGAACACCAGCGGCGAAGGCGGCGCUCUGGGCCGGAACUGACGCUGAGGAGCGAAAGCGUGGGUAGCAAACAGG
rnacentral:rRNA from 1 species